rnacentral:rRNA from 1 species
UACAGAGGUCUCAAGCGUUGUUCGGAUUCAUUGGGCGUAAAGGGUGCGUAGGUGGCUGUGCAAGUCUGGUGUGAAAUCUCGGGGCUCAACCCCGAAACUGCACCGGAUACUGCAUGGCUGGAGGACUGUAGAGGAGAGAGGAAUUCACGGUGUAGCAGUGAAAUGCGUAGAGAUCGUGAGGAAGACAAGUUGCGAAGGCGUCUCUCUGGGCAGUUCCUGACACUGAGGCACGAAGGCCAGGGGAGCAAACGGG